AUUGAACGCUGGCGGCAGGCCUAACACAUGCAAGUCGAGCGGAUGAAGGGAGCUUGCUCCUGGAUUCAGCGGCGGACGGGUGAGUAAUGCCUAGGAAUCUGCCUGGUAGUGGGGGAUAACGUCCGGAAACGGGCGCUAAUACCGCAUACGUCCUGAGGGAGAAAGUGGGGGAUCUUCGGACCUCACGCUAUCAGAUGAGCCUAGAUCGGAUUAGCUAGUUGGUGGGGUAAAGGCCUACCAAGGCGACGAUCCGUAACUGGUCUGAGAGGAUGAUCAGUCACACUGGAACUGAGACACGGUCCAGACUCCUACGGGAGGCAGCAGUGGGGAAUAUUGGACAAUGGGCGAAAGCCUGAUCCAGCCAUGCCGCGUGUGUGAAGAAGGUCUUCGGAUUGUAAAGCACUUUAAGUUGGGAGGAAGGGCAGUAAGUUAAUACCUUGUUGUUUUGACGUUACCAACAGAAUAAGCACCGGCUAACUUCGUG
rnacentral:rRNA from 1 species